AUUGAACGCUGGCGGCAGGCUUAACACAUGCAAGUCGAGCGAGCGGCGGACGGGAGAGUAAUGUCUGGGACACUCCCUGAGGGAGGGGGAUAAAUAAUGGAAACGGGAUCUAAUACCGCAUACCCACAGAUGCCCCCAUAUGGGAUUCGAUAGGAGGUGGGGUAACGGCUUACCUAGGCGAAGAUCCCUAGCUGGUCUGAGAGGAUGACCAGCCAAACUGGAACUGAGACACGGUACGGAUUCCUACGGGAGGCAGCAGUGGGGAAAAUUGCACAAUGGGCGCAAGCCUGAUGCAGCCAUGCCGCGUGUGUGAAGAAGGCCUUCGGGUUGUAAAGCACUUUCAGCGAGGAGGCGUUACUCGCAGAAGAAGCACCGGCUAACUCCGUGCCAGCAGCCGCGGUAAUAC
rnacentral:rRNA from 1 species